rnacentral:rRNA from 1 species
UGCAGUCGACGAUGAGCCUUUCGGGGUGGAUUAGUGGCGAACGGGUGAGUAACACGUGGGCAAUCUGCCCUGCACUCUGGGACAAGCCCUGGAAACGGGGUCUAAUACCGGAUAUUACUCGUCAAGGCAUCUUGACGGGUGGAAAGCUCCGGCGGUGCAGGAUGAGCCCGCGGCCUAUCAGCUUGUUGGUGGGGUGAUGGCCUACCAAGGCGACGACGGGUAGCCGGCCUGAGAGGGCGACCGGCCACACUGGGACUGAGACACGGCCCAGACUCCUACGGGAGGCAGCAGUGGGGAAUAUUGCACAAUGGGCGAAAGCCUGAUGCAGCGACGCCGCGUGAGGGAUGACGGCCUUCGGGUUGUAAACCUCUUUCAGCAGGGAAGAAGCGCAAGUGACGGUACCUGCAGAAGAAGCACCGGCUAACUACGUGCCAGCAGCCGCGGUAAUACGUAGGGUGCGAGCGUUGUCCGGAAUUAUUGGGCGUAAAGAGCUCGUAGGCGGCUUGUCGCGUCGGAUGUGAAAGCCCGGGGCUUAACCCCGGGUCUGCAUUCGAUACGGGCAGGCUAGAGUUCGGUAGGGGAGAUCGGAAUUCCUGGUGUAGCGGUGAAAUGCGCAGAUAUCAGGAGGAACACCGGUGGCGAAGGCGGAUCUCUGGGCCGAUACUGACGCUGAGGAGCGAAAGCG